AGAGAGAGACAUGCGCGCAUAUCAAUAAGCGGAGGAAAAGAAACUAACUAGGAUUCCCUCAGUAACGGCGAGUGAAGCGGGAAGAGCUCAAAUUUGAAAUCUUCAAGGUUUUACCUUGACGAAUUGUAGUUUAAAGAAGUGUUUUCUGUUAGGGAGUUUGGUAAAAGUUCUUUGGAAUAGGACAUCAUAGAGGGUGAGAAUCCCGUAUUUGAUCAUUCUUUCUAGCUUUGUGAUACACUUUCAACGAGUCGGAUUGUUUGGGAAUGCAGUCCAAAAUGGGUGGUAAAUUUCAUCUAAAGCUAAAUAUUGGCGAGAGACCGAUAGCGAACAAGUACCGUGAGGGAAAGAUGAAAAGAACUUUGAAAAGAGAGUUAAACAGUACGUGAAAUUGUCAAAAGGGAAGCGUUUGACACCAGUGUUGUUUUUCCGAAAAUCAAUUAAGAAUGGCUGGAUUUUGUGUUGUAUUGACCUUAUAAGCUUUCUGCACUUUUUCUUGUCUUUUUAAUGCACUUUUCGGUUAACAAGUCAACAUCAAUUUCUUUUGUUGUAAAAGGUUAAUUGGAAGGUGGCUUUACUUUCGGAGUAAAGUGUUUAUAGCCUUGUAACUCUGCAAUCGGAGAGAUUGAGGUCUGCAGCGUAGAUCCUUCGGGGUUAGAUACAGUUUGUGCUAAGUUAUAGCUUUUCAUAGACAACUUGUUGACUAUGUUUAGUCUUGUAGCUUACUCGCUGACUGCUAUUUUACCUACGCUUAGGAUGUUGACAGCAGUAUAGACUGU
rnacentral:rRNA from 1 species